UGUUUUUCAAUUCGUCGUCAAUCAAAUCCGUGUCCGUCCAUUCUCGCGCAGAGAUUCGUGUUGAUUUCUUUUUUCUUCGUGCCGGCGUUCCAUUUGUUCGGGUUGAUUCGUGUUGGUUUCUCGGGUUUGGUUUUCCUGUCUCAGCCCGUUACCGCCCCCGCCCCGGCACUGUCUCCACUUUCAUUUGGGGGGUUCUGUUUUGAUAAGGCAAGGAGAAGGGAAGGAGCUCGAGCGGCGGAGGAGAGGAAGCGAUUUCUUAUGUUCAUGGCGAUUCCGGGCUAUUCCACCGCCCGAUUUCGAUUUCUCCUCCCUUUUCUAUUCGAUCCCCGCUGCCGCGGUUGGUUGUCCUUGUCUCUCGCGUUUCCCUGUGUUGUGGCUAUGUAGUUCCGGAUCUAGGUAAGUUUUGGAUCCGUGGUUCAUCUGUUAUUGGUGUUGUCCGUGGAUCCGUGGUAGGUGCAUGUUGCUGCCGUGUUUGUUUCUAGUCCGCCAUGCCUAGCGCUCCAUUUCCCAUCCUUCUGCCCGCCUGAGUUGUGUAGGAGCUUGUUGUAUGUGGGGAGUUCUAAUCCAUCUCCUUGUUGUGGUCCUUUUCUCCCCUGCUUGUAGAUGUAGAGGUAGGCGUAGGUUGUUUAUUCUGAUGUAGAUGUAGAGGUAGGCGAAGUUAUAGUUGCAGCGGUGGAUUCGCCCUAUCAAUUUUAUUUCUGCUGGCCUGGGUGUCUGUUCCUUUGUCGUUAGAUGUAGUUGCAGAUGGUCUAGCAUGGGUUUCUGCCUGCUUCUGCAGUUUACUUGUAGUUGCUGUUAGCUGCUGAUGUUUGCUGUUGUAAUCCCUGGAAUUCAAUAUGAUUUUUUUUGUUAGAUGUAGGUGUUCAUUUCACCCGGUACCUGAAUCUCUCUGAAUUUGUGUGUACUAGGCUGCAGUGUUGUUGUAGUGUUAGUCCAGGAAUCUCUCUGAAUUUCAUGCUUCUUUACGGUGUAUUUUUACUCCAGACUUGAAGUGUAACUUACCCCUAGAAUUACAGUGUAUCCCCAUCCAGAAUUACUGUGUAAUUUAACUCAUAAUUACAGUGUAACUUGCCCCAUAAUUGCAGUGCAUUUACAGUGUAGCCUGAUGCUUCUUUAUUUGUUGUUACUCUGUAAUUUGUCCUAGUAGUACUGUGUAUUUCCCCCCUAAUUACAGUGUAAUCCUGAUGCUUCUUUCUUCAGUGUAAAUUUUGCUAUAAUUACUGUGUAACAUGUCGUAGAAUUACACUGUAGGUUACCCUGCAAUUACAGUGCAAUAUACCGUGAUUACCGUGUGUUUUUUGUGCUUCUUUAUUUGUAAUUACUGUGUAAUUUUCCCUAGAGUUACUGUGUAAUAUUUUCCCCCGUUACCGUGUAAUUCUCAUGCUUCUUUCAGUGUAAAUUGCAGUGUAUAUUUUUCAGUGUAAUACUGCGCCAGUUUCUUUGUUAUUUACAUUGUAAUUUUUCUCAGAUGUUUUGCAUGCAUUCAUGUAGUUUUGCACUGUAAUAUCCCCCAUUCUUACUAUAUAAUUUAUCUUCAGUUUUUGGCAGUGUACUUCCUCUACCUUUUCAUUGUAAGUUGCCCUAAUUAUUGUGUAUUUUGACUCAGAGUUUCACUGUAUUUAGGUUGGUUUUUACACUGUAUUUUAAGUGAUUCUUGCACUGUAUUAAUAUGCCCCAUUAUUCUAUAAUUCCCCUGAUUGCUGCCUUUCAGUGUAUUUGUUGUGAGAUUUCCCUUGUAAUUGAGCCCCAUUACUCUAUAAUUUUCAACUUUCUUUAAUUUCUUUUUUUUUCGUGUGUCAUGUAUUCUGUUUUGUUAGGUUUAGGUCAAUGGGGAGACUACGGAAAGUCUCUCACAAGGAUGUUUCGGUAGUUUCUUCUAUCGUGAGUGCUGAUUCUUGGAAUGAUCAUUUUGUGCCUAAUGACUUUGCGGAAGAUGGUUCUAAUGCUAUGUCUUUGGUAGUUAUUUCUGUCUUGUUCUCUACUUUCAUUUUCGUUUUUAUUCUUUCUUUCAGUUUAUUAAUUUUUUUUGUUUGUUGACUGAAUUGUUUUUCAGGAUCUUUCUAGUGAUGAUAGAGGGUUUGAUAAAGCUAUUUUUCAAGAAUUUCAUUGCAAUCCCCAUGCUUCCUUUUUGUAAUUGCAGUGUAAUAUACCCUAGAAUUGCAGUGUAAUUUAGCCCAGAUUUUAGUGUAAUCCCAAUGCUUCAUUUUUUUAAUUACAGUGUAAUUUUCCUAGAAUUGCAGUGUAAACUCCAUGCUUCAUUUAUGUAAUUACAGUGUAAUUUUCCCCAUAAUUACAGUUUAAACUUCAUGCUUUAUUUAUGUAAUUAUAGUGUAAUUAUUCCCCGAAUUGCAGUGUAAUUUUUCCUAGAACUUCAGUGUAAAUUUCAUUUUUUUUCUAAACAAAGUAGUGUAAUUUUCCUGCUGAACCUCUAUUACUUGAUAUUUGAGCUUCAUUCUUGUUCAGCUUUGCUUGAAUUACAGUGGAUUUUAACUCUGUUUAGGGCGAUUAUCCUGUGUAGUUCCUUGGUUAUUAUCAUUGUAAUCCACUAGUGUGAUUAUUCAUUUCCUUCACUGUCCAUGUGUACGAGCACUGUAACAAGCUCUGCUUUUCAUUGUCAAUAUUAAUGCCUUCAUCUGAUAGGACUUGUGUUCUUUAUGCUGAUAGGUAUGUCUUUGUAUUCAUGACUUCGUCUGAACUUGCAUGUAUCUCUGUAAUCCACUGAGUUCAUGUUAGUUACAUUGCCCUGUAUCGCAGCAAAGAUUUUUUCAUGUGUACUACAGCAAAGUUUUUUUCAUGUAAUUUCCCCAUGGUUCAUGCUACCUACAUUGCCCUAUACUGCAGCAAAGUUUUUUUCAUGUGUACCUUACACUGGAAUUCGUGUUGGUGUAGUGUUUUGACAGUGAAAUAUUAACAGUUUUACCUUCUGACAGUUAGAAUUUCCCCCCUGAUGAUUCCCACAUUUUCACUAGAUUGUAUGAUGUUUUUUUUUCUACAGGCUAGUUCAUGUAGGAUGUGUAUCUAGAGCAGCGGGGUGAGGAAAAACACGGAAGAGUUCAAUAGAAGUGUGAUCAAAAGGAGUAGGACAUUACGUGAGCUGUGGACCGUCUCUUGGUUGAUCUUCCUCUGCCCUCCACCAAUUAUUCGGAUCUGUUCUUCCCCCUUGCUUCUCUCCAGGUACUUGCCCCUCUGAUGUGCCUCUCUGACUUGUUGUUGUUCUUCCUUCUUCUCACUCCCUCUCUCCCAUGACGUCUCUCUGAUGUUUUUCUACUCUUUCUUCUCCUCAUUUCCCCUAUCCCAUGGCGCCUCCCAGAUGACUUGUGUGAUGCAAGUUAAAGGAGGGUCCUGGGAGACGCCAGUAUUCUGCUGAUUUUUGUUCCUUUUCUUCGUCAGGUGAUUUGUUGUCCAGGAAAGGAAAAAAGAGCAUGGGCAACGGUCCAGGUGGGUUUCGUGAUAGUUGCCUUGUUUUGUUUUGGUUAUUAGUUAGAACCGGGUCAGAUUUUAGCCGCCCGACCCAUUUUUUUGGAAAUACAAGCAUACAAUUGUCCAUGGUAUUUGGACAUAGGUGUCAGCGCUUGAUUUGUCAGGAAAUUUGACUAUAAUAUAGUGCUUUUUACCUUUGUAUUGGAUGACUUUCUUCGUUAUUUAACUUGUUUACCCCUAACCCGGGUCUGAUGUUCACCCCUGACCCGUUUAGGCGUUCUUUUUUGCUUUAUGUUGAUUUUCCUGCUCAUACAGGUGUAAUGUGUUGAUUGGUCAGGAAAUUUGACUGUUUUUGAAUUGAAAAACAGUCAAAUGUCAAAUAGACAGUCCCUAGAUAUAAGAUAUAAGAUUGACUAUUGUCCUAGCAAAGUAAACAUUUUAUACUUUCAUAUGGCUUUCCAACAAGGAGAAUCAGAGAACCUGGCCUUAAUAGCGGCUACAAUAUUGUUCCAAAAGUAUUUAACACGACAAAUUUUUAUGCCACAAGCCUUGUUUUGUUUCUAGUUUCCACCACCAUUUUACCAAAAGGCUAAUAUUUUGCUGGCGCCAAUCUUUAAUAUGUAAACCACCAAUUUUGUCAGACUGAUAAAUUCUAGCCUACUUAACCAUUUGAUUAGCUCUUUUCUUCUUCCACUUUUGCCAGAAGAAAUGCCUUUUUUUGCAUAACCAUUUUUUAAAUAAAGGUAUUAUUCAGAAGGAACAUAGACAUAAAAUAGGAAGGAAUCAAGUCUUAUUGAACAAUUUGGAUCCAUGAAAUCCCAGUCAAUGUUCUUGAAACCAGUGCUACUAAUCGAAUAAGCUCACUGCUACUAGUCAACUGAGAGGCAUGGCGGCAAAAUGUUAUGAUCGUGUUUUAGUCAUGCAUGUUUCAUGUUAACUUGUAUUUCCACUGUGUAACAUGGGAGUACCCAGAGCUCUAGUACGCCCCCUAGUUGUGUUGCUGAAGGUCUUCCUUGUAAAUGGAGUUCCAAAUAAACUAACGGCUUUUGAGCUCUGUUGAGAAGCACGGGGUCAGAUAAAGCCAACCACUUGUGUUUCUUCUCAUCAUGUUCUGAACUUCCCAAUGCCUCUCAUACCAAUAUGUAAUAAUCAGAGAUAAUAUCCGUACAUGUCAGUGAGGUAAACAGAACAGGAAUUUCUUAUUCUUACGUAGUAGUAUGAGAGAGGAAAGGAACUUCAGAAGCAUAUAUAUAGUGCCAAAACAUGUUUCAAUGUCUUUGCUGAGCCCAUGUGACAUACUCUGCAACGGCCACGCACAUCAGGGACUAUAUAGAACAAAAACGGCCAUGAUCAAUUGAGUGGCAUGCCAUGUGGCCUUGUGAACCCGACAUGGUGCCUGCUUCGGAAGGUGGGGGUACCUAGAGCGUGUUUGGUUGCCUGCAUACAGACUAACCAGACCCAUAUGGUACGAAAAUGGUUUGUUUGGUUGCCUAAGUCGCAUCAAAAUGUUGUCCCGCACGAACCUCUCUAGAUGGCAUGACUUCCGUGGACACCUCUAACACCCAGGGUUGCCCGUUCAUGAGCUGGCUUGUUACACUCAUGCAUACAAAGGAGCCGCCGAUGCUUUUCUUGAUAUAUCCUGCUGGCGGUGCAUACCAUCUAGAGAGGUUAGAGCUGGCCUCCUUUUUCUACUUCGAACAACGUUCCUUCCGCUCAGCAGUCCACCACUACCGGUUCUUAGGGGCAAACUCCGCCACAGUCCCAAUGCAGUCACCGUGGUUGUUCGUGUUUUGCUCCGACCACCACUUCUACCAGGAAUCGAUCCCAUGUCCAAAGCAAUAGUCGAAGACUAAGGAUUGGCCCAAUAACCAACUCUGACUUGCAUCCUUGUCAUAUGGUAGAAAAAAUAACUUUAUUUGAUUUCUUCUCACUGAUACAUUAGUAACAAAAUACAUAUUUUUUUGGGCCUAAAAAACCACACUAAAUCAGCGAACCGGUGGUCCAACCGGUGAAUUGGAGGUUGGCGUCCCUAGCCUCUCAAUGAACCGAUGCACACGAGACCUCAUCGCCGUCAGAUGCUAGCUCCAGUGCUCCGGUUGCCUUGGUUUUUCCGGUCUCCGAGAUGGAGAUGAUACCGGCCUCGGUGUCUCCCGCCCCCGAGAUGGAGAUGAUAGCGACCACGUCAUCCUCCGUCCUUGUGAGCGAGACCAGCCUAAAGAAUGUUCAGGCUAUAGUUUGAGACAUAUUUGUCCCAGAUAAAAUCUUCUGGGACAUGGUCAUUGAUUCCUUUGUCGCAUACCAUUGCCACCAGAUGUGAUAUCAGGGUGGCUGGUGGGUUGUGGGUUGUCGCAAGGUCGAUGCAUCGACCUAAUCUCGAGGCCAAAAUUACAGGCUCGGAUGCUAGAUCCGUUAGUCUAAGUUCAUCGUCCUCUGUGUCAGAGAUCGUUCGUGUAGAAAAUAAGAGCCCCGACAUGAUCGUGCAUGUGAUCUAUUGAGGCGGCGGGACACAUAACUGGAGGCCGCUGGAGAGGUCGAUGUAGAAUGUCAGUGACCCAAAUAAGAUGGUGUGGGCCGGGGAGGUCGGUGGGUUGAUGUUGAACCGGGCUGACCUGUCCGUGACAAAGGUGAGGGAGCCAAAGAUGCGGUUCUCUCCUGGAGCGAGGUCAACAUGAGCGAUGGGAGAUCUGAUCUGGAUUCGGUCUCUGACCGGCACAACCCCUGCGUGGCGUGCCAACUAUCAGUUCAGAAAACCAUAAGUUCUCUCGGUAGGGUUGCGAACAUGGCUGGAAGUACCCGAGGCGAGAUCACACAAGGGAGUUGCCCAGGUUCCGGACCUCGUAGUGAGGUAAAACCCUACAUCAUGCUUCUGAUUUGUAUUCAUGGUGGAGCACCUCGAGCGAGGGGGUUAUAAUAGAUAUGAGUAUAUGGCUACCAAGACUGUAGUCUACACUGUAGAUGGGAAUGAAUACCCCUAGCUCUGCCUUAUAUAGCCAACGGGGGCUAGGGUUUGCAUGGGGAUCUGAGCGACCUUGCGUCGCCACCAUCUUGCCUUGCACGCCAAGAUGGUCUUCGAGCUCUAUCCGGGCUCCCACCUAUCGUCAAACUACUGCUAGGCCACCUCUUAGCUUUCCAUCAAGAAGCAACCCCCUGCGUAUUACACUUCCACUGUGCCGCCAUCCAGACAUAUUUUGAUCCCCAAAAAUCCCACUAAUCAUUCAUGCUGGAGGACAAAGAUGGCAAGGAGGUUCCCCAUCGUGGUGUCACUGAACUACAAAGUAGGGUGGCCGCCUCCACCGCGAUCGCGAUCGCAUAUGUCAAAAUCUUGGUGGAACACAAACAUGUCGUUCGCAAGGUUGAUUGAGAGGGUGAUCACCUGCUCGCGCGAAGGCGUCGAUCGCGAAUUGGAACAAACGUGCUUACCGGAAGAAUCAACGCAGGCCAUGGUGAAGCGUGUGUCGAGGCGCGAGUUAGCAAGCUCGGCUCAUGAUAUAUCCGGUAGCCCGACCAGGUGCUCGUGCAAAAGUCUGUGAUGUCCUUUGUUGUUUUAUGGAACACCUUGUGGGCAUAUUUGAUGAUGUUUUUGCAAAGAAAACCCUUAUCAAAAAGUUUAGAGGGUUUCUUUCAAAAAUACUAACGGAGUCGGUAAGUGUGACCUAUAUGCACCAAAAACUCCAGUUUUAUAAUCAAGUUUGUCUAGUUUUGUAGUGUGAUUUAAGUUCUGUGUAAAUCAGUGGACAACAUUGUCAUUUACUCUAUCCAAUGACUACUUGCAUUUUUUAAUAUUUGGAACUUAGUACUUCCUGUGAUAAUCAUUUGGACAGUUGGGGCCUCUUUAUUUUGAAGGGAAGUACUUCCUGUGAGAAUUUUUGAGGAUUUGAAUGUUAAUUGAGGAGAUAUAGGAAGGUAACUCUCUGAGGAAAAUAGUAGAUGGAGAGUUAUUGGCAGGCCCAUAAACCACACAGAGCUCCCAACUCAUGUGUGAAGCUUUGGUUUGAAUAGAAGUACUUAAGGGACAAUGACCAAAGGCCCAUUUUUCAACUACAAAAUGAUCUUUAUUGAUGCUAAGUAAAAGGCCUCCCGAAAGGCCAGUAGCUGGCAUCCAUUGCCAUUUGAAUUUUUUAAAGGGGUCAAUUGAUUUCAGAUUGAAGGAGAAGUCAACGUUAUUUCUCGGAGAGCGACACAAUUGAUUUUCUGGCAGAACAUCUAUUCCUUAAGCUCGGUUCAUCUUUUCGUGUGCCCAAAACCCCUGAUGUUACAAAAAAGAAUUAUCAUUGGAGAACUCUUUUGUGGAAGUGCAACCCUUUGGUGCACAACUUAUUGGCUUUGGGAGAUACACUAGGGCCUGCAAUAGAGGAGGAUUCCCUGGCCUACCCGGCGGCCAAUGAUGUCGCAGCUUUGCGGUGGAUGGCGUCCAUAAGUGCGGCCUGGGUUAAUUCAUAAGCAUUGAUCAUGUAAAUCAAUCCUCCGUCCACAUCCAACCAUCCAUUAAGAACUAUACCAUUGUCCGAGACUAUCACUCCUAUUUGUUCGUUGCUGAAAUCAUGAAGAACAGAGAACUCGCGGAAGAUGUUACCUGGCUUCUCAAGGUCUUUUCCCGCAAUGAGGUGUUGUGCUUUCUUCAGAGCUGAGACACCUUGCUUGCUCCCCCCUAGCACUCAUGCGAGAAAAACCUUGUGACAGCACCUUGGAUACCCUUCCUUUAGGUACAACAAACGUAUUCAUCACCACUUUGACCUUGUCCAUAGAGAGAUUCUUCGAGCUAGAGAAGUUGGGGACGAAGCUUGGAUCAAAGUGGAGAGAACUGGGGUUGUUUUUGGGGAAGGCACUGUUCGACGCAUUUUUGUGCGUUCCUUUUUCAGAAAAUAUAAGUUUAAAUAUAAAUUAUUAUUUUUAAGUGCAAGUUAUACACAUCUAAUGGUUGAUUUUGGGUGUACACGCACACACCCGUAGUAGGCAAUCCUUGAUUCAAUUGUACGUGCAUGCAAGCUUUUUGAGUUUGCUCACCUACUGACCCAAUGUAUACUUGCACUGAUACUCAGUGGUAUAGUCUUACACACAUGCAGGUUUACAUUUCGGAAGGCCAAACCCACGUCUAUGCUGCACACGCGGGAAAACAUAAAAUAUACGUAUCUCUUUGAGUACCCGUAUACCGGCGCCCUGGCCGGCGCGUAUUUAUACAUCUCCGAUUACCCGCAUGUAAAAAAAAAAGGGUAAGCACUACACGUGAGAAGAUAUUUGCUAUGUAUCUGGUGAUGGGCAAUAAGCCACGGCGACUACGUCCAGAGCGUGUGCGUGCGCGAGCUGAGUGUGUUGAGUGUAGUCUGUGGUCGCGUCAGUCAUAGACCGGGCAUAGCCUGACCAUUGUAUGGCCAUGGUCCGACUUGUGUAUAGUCUGGCCAUGGUCUGGGGCAUGUCUGACUAGUGUCCAGGUUGUGUGCGUGAGUGCGUGUGUCCGUAGGCGAAGAACCAGUGGGUGAGCACGUCGCUAGCACCGGUAGUGGCCGCGUCGUUCGCGUCCGAGCGCGGCGGGUGCGUGAGCCAGGGGGUGCGGGGCGUGGGUAGUGGAUGAGUGGGCGCGGCGUAUGAGCGCGCGUAUAAGUCUCCCCGAACCCCUGUGUAUCGCUGUGUGGGUUGAGUUCGAGCUCAAAGAAAAAACGCCGUUGUUGCGGCAGGCGUUCGUGCGCCAGGAAAACCACCGCGUCCACUGCUGCUUCUUCUUCCUUCUUUCUUCUUUAGUGUGUGCUAGAGAGAAGAAGUGUUCAGAGAGAGAGGAGUAGAGCUAGGGCCAGCUAGGGCAAGGGCUCGGCUCCAACAAUUGGCAUCAGAGCUUCGGUUCGAGAGGCGCCUGCGGCCAUGGCGCUUGUUCCGCACGGCGGUGGUGGUGGCAGUUUCUCGCUGCCAGUCCCGCCAAUGACGACGAUGAACUACAUCUCCUGGGCGAUCAAGGUGGAGGCGCUCCUUGAUGCCCAGGGGCUGUGGUGUACGGUGGCUCCAGCGGAUGGCACGGGGGUGGACGCCGGCAAGAGCAAGACGGCGAGGGCAUUGCUGCUCAGAGCGCUGUCGGAGGAGGUGCUGCUGCCGGUAUCGACGAAGACCACCGCGAAGGAGGUAUGGGACUCCCUCAAGGUGCGCUUCGUCGGCGCCGAUCGGGUGCGGGCGGCCCGGCUCGCGUCGCUCCCCGGCGAGUUUGAUCGGCUGCGGAUGGCGGACGACGAGGACUUGGACAGCUUCGCUGGGAAGCUCGGCGCCAUGACGGCACGAUACGUAGGCCUGGGGGAGGUGCUCGACGACGCCGCACUUGUGAAGAAGCUGCUAGACUCGGUUCCUGACUGCUUGUACCCCGCCGUCGCCGGAAUAGAGCAAUUCUGCGGCGUGGAUGACAUGGUGUUCGAGGAGGCCUUGGGGCGGCUCAAGGCGUUCGAAGAACGGACUCGGCGUCGCGGGCAGGACGGCGGCAGGCGCGACGGCGAGGAGCUGCUGUACACUACGGCACAAUGGGCGGCGCGGCAGCGCAAGCAGGGUGGUGGCGGCUUCAACGACCACGACGACGAGGGCACGGCGAGCAUGGCGUCUGGUGGUGGCGGGAAGAGGCGAGGCCGCUGCUACAACUGCGGGCAGCGCGGCCAUUUCAAGCGGGACUGCACAAGGCCGAGGAAGGCGGCGGCGGAGCGGGCUCUUCUGGCAGACAUCGAUGUCGAGGGAACGGCACUCCUCUGAGCCGCGGCUUAGGGGGUGAAUGAUGGGCAAUAAGCCACGGCGACUACGUCCAGAGCGUGUGCGUGCGCGAGCUGGGUGGGUUGAGUGUAGUCUGUGGUCGCGUGAGUCAUAGACCGGGCAUAGUCUGACUAUUGUAUGGCCAUGGUCCGACUUGAGUAUAGUGUGGCCAUGGUCUGGGGCGUGUCUCACUAGUGUCCAGGUUGUGUGCGUGAGUGCAUGUGUCCGUUGGCGAAGAACCAGGGGGUGAGCACGUCGCUAGCACCGGUAGUGGCCGCGUCGUCCGCGUCCGAGCGCGGCGGGUGCGUGAGCCAAGGGGUGCGGGGCGUGGGUAGUGGACGAGUGGGCGCGGCGUAUGAGCGCGCGUAUAAGUCUCCCCGAACCCCUGUGUAUCGCUGUUUGGGUUGAGUUCGAGCUCAAAGAAAAAACGCCGUUGUUGCGGCAGGCGUUCGUGCACCAGGAAAACCACCACGUCCACUGCAGCUUCUUCUUCCUUCUUUCUUCUUUAGUGUGUGCUAGAGAGAGAGGAGUAGAGCUAGGGCCAGCUAGGGCAAGGGCUCGGCUCCAACAAUUGGCAUCAGAGCUUCGGUUCGAGAGGUAGCCUGCGGCCAUGGCGCUUGUUCCGCAUGGCGGUGGUGGUGGCAGUUUCUCGCUGCCGGUCCCGCCAUUGACGACGACGAACUACAUCUCCUGGGCGAUCAAGGUGGAGGCGGUCCUUGAUGCCCAGGGGUUGUGGUGUGCGGUGGCUCAGGCGGAUGGCACGGCGGUGGACGCCGGCAAGAGCAAGACGGCAAGGGCAUUGCUGCUCCGAGCGCUGUCGGAGGAGGUGCUGCUGCCGGUGUCGAUCAAGACCACCGCGAAGGAGGUAUGGGACUCCCUCAAGGUGCGCUUCGUCGGUGCUGAUCGGGUGCGGGCGGCCCGGCUCGCGUCGCUCCGCGGCGAGUUUGAUCGGCUGCGGAUGGCGAGGACUUGGACAGCUUCGCUGGGAAGCUCGGCGCCAUGACGGCACGAUACACAGGCCUGGGGGAGGUGCUCAACGACGCCGCACUUGUGAAGAAGCUGCUGGACUCGGUCCCUGACCGCUCAUACCCCGCCGUCGCCGGAAUAGAGCAAUUCUGCGACGUGGAUGACAUGGCGUUCGAGGAGGCCUUGGGGCGGCUCAAGGCGUUCGACGAACGGACCCAGCGUCGCGGGCAGGACGGUGGUAGGCGCGACGGCGACGAGCUGCUGUACACUACGGCACAAUGGGCGGCGCGGCAGUGCAAGCAGGGUGGUGGCGGCUUCAACGACCACGACGAUGACGGCACGGCGAGCAUGGCGUCUGGUGGUGGCGGGAAGAGGCGAGGCCGCUGCUACAACUGCAGGCAGCGCGGCCAUUUCAAGCGGGACUGCACAAGGCCGAGGAAGGCGGCGGCGGAGCGGGCUCUUCUGGCAGACAUCGACGUCGAGGGGACGGCACUCCUCUGAGCCGCAGCUUAGGGGGUGAAUGAUGGGCAAUAAGCCACGGCGACUACGUCCAGAUCGAGCGUGUGCGUGCGCGAGCUGGGUGUGUUGAGUGUAGUCUGUGUUCGCGUGAGUCAUAGACCGGGCAUAGUCUGACCAUUGUAUGGCCAUGGUCCGACUUGAGUAUAGUCUGGCCAUGGUCUGGGGCGUGUCUGACUAGUGUCCAGGUUAUGUGCGUGAGUGCGUGUGUCCGUUGGCGAAGAACUAGGGCGUGAGCACGUCGCUAGCACCGGUAGUUGCCGCGUCGUCCGCGUCCGAGCGCGGCGGGUGCGUGAGCCAAGGGGUGCGGGGCGUGGGUAGUGGACGAGUGGGCGCGGCGUAUGAGCGCGCGUAUAAGUCUCCCCGAACCCCUGUGUAUCGCUGUUUGGGUUGAGUUCGAGCUCAAAGAAAAAACGCCGUUGUUGCGGCAGGCGUUCGUGCACCAGGAAAACCACCACGUCCACUGCAGCUUCUUCUUCCUUCUUUCUUCUUUAGUGUGUGCUAGAGAGAGAGGAGUAGAGCUAGGGCCAGCUAGGGCAAGGGCUCGGCUCCAACAAUUGGCAUCAGAGCUUCGGUUCGAGAGGUAGCCUGCGGCCAUGGCGCUUGUUCCGCAUGGCGGUGGUGGUGGCAGUUUCUCGCUGCCGGUCCCGCCAUUGACGACGACGAACUACAUCUCCUGGGCGAUCAAGGUGGAGGCGGUCCUUGAUGCCCAGGGGUUGUGGUGUGUGGUGGCUCAGGCGGAUGGCACGGCGGUGGACGCCGGCAAGAGCAAGACGGCAAGGGCAUUGCUGCUCCGAGCGCUGUCGGAGGAGGUGCUGCUGCCGGUGUCGAUCAAGACCACCGCGAAGGAGGUAUGGGACUCCCUCAAGGUGCGCUUCGUCGGUGCUGAUCGGGUGCGGGCGGCCCGGCUCGCGUCGCUCCGCGGCGAGUUUGAUCGGCUGCGGAUGGCGAGGACUUGGACAGCUUCGCUGGGAAGCUCGGCGCCAUGACGGCACGAUACACAGGCCUGGGGGAGGUGCUCGACGACGCCGCACUUGUGAAGAAGCUGCUGGACUCGGUCCCUGACCGCUCGUACCCCGCCGUCGCCGGAAUAGAGCAAUUCUGCGACGUGGAUGACAUGGCGUUCGAGGAGGCCUUGGGGCGGCUCAAGGCGUUCGACGAACGGACCCAGCGUCGCGGGCAGGACGGUGGUAGGCGCGGCGGCGACGAGCUGCUGUACACUACGGCACAAUGGGCGGCGCGGCAGUGCAAGCAGGGUGGUGGCGGCUUCAACGACCACGACGAUGACGGCACGGCGAGCAUGGCGUCUGGUGGUGGCGGGAAGAGGCGAGGCCACUGCUACAACUGCAGGCAGCGCGGCCAUUUCAAGCGAGACUGCACAAGGCCGAGGAAGGCGGCGGCGGAGCGGGCUCUUCUGGCAGACAUCGACGUCGAGGGGACGGCACUCCUCUAAGCCGCAGCUUAGGGGGUGAAUGAUGGGCAAUAAGCCACGGCGACUACGUCCAGAUCGAGCGUGUGCGUGCGCGAGCUGGGUGUGUUGAGUGUAGUCUGUGUUCGCGUGAGUCAUAGACCGGGCAUAGUCUGACCAUUGUAUGGCCAUGGUCCGACUUGAGUAUAGUCUGGCCAUGGUCUGGGGCGUGUCUGACUAGUGUCCAGGUUGUGUGCGUGAGUGCGUGUGUCCGUUAGCGAAGAACCAGGGGGUGAGCACGUCGCUAGCACCGGUAGUGGCCGCGUCGUCCGCGUCCGAGCGCGGCGGGUGCGUGAGCCAGAGGGUGCGGGGCGUGGGUAGUGGAUGAGUGGGCGCGGCGUAUGAGCGCGCGUAUAAGUCUCCCCGAACCCCUGUGUAUCGCUGUGUGGGUUGAGUUCGAGCUCAAAGAAAAAACGCCGUUGUUGCGGCAGGCGUUCGUGCGUCAGCAAAACCACCGCGUCCACUGCUGCUGCUUCUUCCUUCUUUCUUUUUAGUGUGUGCUAGAGAGAGAAGUCUUCAGAGAGAGAGUGGAGUAGAGCUAGGGCCAGCUAGGGCAAAGGCUCGGCUCCAACAUCUGGCAUUUUGUUUUUGCAGAAGUGUGCGCCAAGAAAAAUAAUGAAACGAUAGGCAGCGAAGAUAGAUCGAUUGGUUGCAGUCCAUAUCCCGUCCGAGAAAAUCUACAACAGCCAAACGGCCGUGGCCUUGGCUGCGCAUCGCCAGCUCCCACCCCGCUGCCUAUAUAUAUGUAGCAGCUCAAGGCAAAGAGGGAGAGGUUCACGCACGUCCGGAGAGAAGACCCGCAGGAAACGCACAUCCAUCCAUCAAUUCGUCCUAGGCAGAAGACAACACAACCACGCAGCCGGCGGCCGCACACAGCAGAUCUCACGCACGCAGCCGAUAACACAACCCACACAUCAACGCGGCCACGCUGACGGCAGAAGACCAGAUCGCAUCGACGGGUGAACGCAGCCGGGCGAGAACACCGGCGCCAGCGACAUGGACACCAAGCUCACGUUCCUGAAGGGUGAGAUUUUGAUCUAAUACAUCUAUUUUCUUCUGUCUCAUUCUCAUCUAGCAUGCAUGCGCUACGCGGAGAGUACGUGCCGGUCACUGGAGACGACACUCGUGUGAUCCCGUUGCCGCCGCCGGAGAUGACUGCAUUGGAACAGAAAACUGCACUGACACCGCCGGAGAUUGUCUACGCCAAGCCUUUCAUUUUCAGGUGUCAUGUUCUUGGCUGGAGAUGACUCGGGAGCUGCCGGAGCUCGGCAACGACGCAGCCCAACCGCUAGACGCUGCUCUAACAUGGCGGUCUACAUGUCCCUGGCGAAUAGGUCACGAUACACAGGUCACAACGAACAGGUCACCGGCGCACAGGUCCAUGGCGUUCCGAUUGCGGUGCACAGGUUUGGUGUCUUGCUUCCCGGAUGAGACGGCGAGACGGAACCGGAGCUCACGACGAUGCAGCCCAAAACCGUUCCCUCCUCCGAAAGGCGCACCCAUCACGACAGACAGAUCAUUGGCGGAUAGGUCAUUGGCGUACAUGUCUCGGUGUACAUGUCUAUGAUGUCGCCGGCGUACAGGUCACCUUUUUGGUGUGGUACCAGCCCAUGGCAGCGCGGACUCAACGACGCCACCUUUCGACGGCCCUGUGAGGCGGCCCCUUUGUCUUGGUAGGACCGCCGAAUACUCGGUGUCUAACCGAUACGAGGUGCCAACCACCCCGGCCACGCUGAUGUGAGCGUGCGUCGGUUUUACGCUGACGUCGGUCUCCCCAAACCAUUACUCCCACAAGGUGUAGCCCCUUGCCCCGAUGAAGCAACCGGUUGUCGAGAAGUCCGAACUGAGCGCGACCCAUGCCACCCCGACAACAAAUACUCCAACACCGAUGAGGCACGGCGGCAAGGGCGGGUGUGGCCACCGCAAAGACCACGCUACUUGUGGCGCGUGUACCGACAAGGACACGGGUUCUGCCGCCGCCCACACACACACCACCACCACCAUCAUGCAUGGAGAGCGCGAAGCGAACACGACCAUACAGCUCAAUCGGAUGUAUCUCGCGGAGCAACCUGCGGGAGUAAUUAACCGGGAGCCUUCCGAGGCCCCGGGAACCAGGAGACCGCAAUUCUAACAGUCAGGCUGGCCGCGCUAGUAGGCCAUGGAGCGCACUUUUUGUUUACGGGAUCUUGUAAUUUUUAUUCUCCAAUGAGAUUAAUGAAAUACUCGUUUCCCAUACCCUUUUCUUUGUGUAUUACGGUACACUGGCACGCCCACAUAUUUUUUUCUUUCUCCGGCAUAUGAGAGAAAUACACUCCCUCUUCCCUUCUCCCGGAGUCCUAGAUAUUUUUCUCGUGUCAAACAGGCACUGCGGUUGAUAACUUGGUAGGCGCAUUAGGGAUUGAUUCAACCUUAGUGGAUACGAAUUAUAAGAUGUUUUCUGGGUUUUAAGCUGAGAACUCCCAGUUCUUAGGGUUGUCUCGGCCCGACUCCACUUUGUUAGAAGCUGACAAUUUGAAAGGUUUGCUCGACAAGAAGUGGAGAUAUCAACCACCAAUGAAGUUUUGCUUGGAGGAAGUGAAGUCCAGUGGAUCAACGGAUAAUGCUUUAGCAAUAGGAGCAUCCCUUCUCUCUGAAGGUGAGACCCCGUAUUUGUCCAUAGAGGUAGCGAGGUACCUAGAGAUAGGCACGUUUUGGACCAUCGACCUACUCUUUUGAGAACAUGAAGGAGAUGAUGUCAUAGCAGCCUGGGUGGUCUUAGGCACUAAGCUCGUGUUACCACUUGAAGCUUUGGUAGAUGGCAAAGCAGUAGAAGAAGGACCCGCAGGGCCUGGUUGGAAUCUAGAUCUCUUACGCUUAUGGUUGCAAUUGUGCCCACUGUCUUCUUCAUCUUCCUGGCUUUAGGAGGUGGGUGGAGGAGGUGGUAGCGCAGAAUCUCCUUUCUAAGGCAAUGCAGGGUCACAUCGAAUCUUUUACCCAUUGUUGUUGACAAAUAUCCUAUUGGAACAGAGGAAUUGGGUGGGUUGAUACAACCUUAAUCAGGGAGAGCUCACUAGCCACCUCUAUUUCCGAAUGGCGGGAAAAUAGCUUUCAGUGUUUGUUGGUCCAUUUUGAGGCAGUUUGGCAAACUCCAAAACUUAGUCCAAACGCCUUGUAAGGUGCAACACACCUCAACAUAUUCAAUAUGUUCCAAGAACACAACAAUACUUUUGGACAUUUUGGGAGCUUCGUCCCACCAUUAUCGAGGCACAACCGUAGACUUUGUUUGUUAUUGGGAAAGACCACCUGGAUGUCCAUAACAAAAACUUGGGACACUUGUCAGUUCCGUUCAUCUGCAUCAAGUAGGGAUUCGAGCUCUACGACCAACCUUCAGUUGAGGUCAGAUCUUUCUUCAACAUGAUUGUUGCCGCCAAGGAAGAAAUGGAGGCUUGGGAAUCGUCCUUGCUUUCGGCGAGCUCCAAACAGAAGAAGAAGUCCAUGGAUGUUAUGGGCCAUCAUCUUCAACUGCAGAGCCGUCGCCCUAGCCACAAAGUCGCUGGCUGAGUGUCCUUCUGGCUUACAGUACAGAUGAAGCAAAGAGGAUAGUUAGGGCAAUUCGCCUGGAACUGACCUGGAUAGUCGCAGUUCAAUAGUCAAAAGCUACCUAUGAUGAAGAAUUGGCCUUUCCCGACCCCGAGGAAGAAGGUUUGCUAGGGUUCUUCUUAGCCUAGUUGUUGUUAUCGUAGACGUCAUUUCUUCGGUAGUUCUUACAGCUUUUCUAGCCACCACCAUUGUUGCUGCCUUUGAGUUACCGAAAACACCAAAGCCACCCUUACCUUGGAACUGUUGGUCACCUCCCUGGUUUCCAUCUUUAGAAUUGGGGCCACGCAUACCACCACCCGACCCUCUGGAUGGUGGAGACACAUCUCUGUGCUGCGUAGCAUCCGCUGCAGUUUCUCUCUCAGAUUUGCCUCCCUAAGAUGAUCUUCCUUUGAGACGAACUAACCAAACCACCUCAUCCCUGAUCUAUCCUCUCUGCGGCUCACCAGCCACUUGAGAAAAGGAACCGUAAAGGGGUGCAGGCAAAGCAAGAACCAAACAGAUCUACUCCCUCUGUCCCAUAAUAUAAGAACGUUUUUGACACUAUGGGACGGAGGGAGUACAUGUCAUAAGCUGAGGAUGGUUAGAUCGAGUGAAGUGGCACCGCGCUAGAUCCACAUCCACCAUACUUAGAGGCCAGGGAACUGCGGCUAGACGAGAACUGCACACAGAUGCACCGGACCAAGCAUGUGGUUCAGCCGCACGAGGCAGCGACUCGGUCCACUACCGGACUCGCGGCCUAUGCCUACAGCCCAGGUCCAUCGGUAUAGGUCCUUUGCCGUCGGCAUAGAUCUAUGCCUACGACUGCCUUCGGCAUAGCCCCGUCGGCGUAGAUUACGUCAGCGUAGUCUUGUUAGACCGUCGGCAUAGUAUAGCCGUCGGCAUAGGGUCUUAUGCCAACGGCCGGGCGUCAGCCGUCGGCAUAGUUUAGCCGUCGGCAGUGUUUUUCGCCUGACGGCAACGGAUGGCGCCGUCAAAAGCGCUAACGAUUCACGGAAUGCCACGGCAAAAGCCGUCGGCAUACCUCUGCCACGUGGCAUUCCAUGGUGCCUCCUGGUGGCAGGGCUAUGCCUACGGCAAAGCCGUAGGCAUAGACUACGGCAAAGCCGUAGGCUUAGAUGAAAUCUAUGCCGACGGCUUUGCUGUAGGCAUAGCCGUGCCACGUGUCGUCCCCUGGUGCCUCCUGGCGGCAGGGCUAUGCCUACGGCAAAGCCGUCGGCAUAGAUUUCCAUCUAUGCUGACGGCUUUGUCUUAGGCAUAGCUCUGCCAUGUGGCGCGUCCUGGGAAAUCCUGGGCUUAUAUAUGCCGACGGCUUUGCCGUAGGCAUAGUUUUUUUAUUUUUUUAUUUUCCCUGUUUUCUCUUUUUCAAUUCAUUUGACAGCAUUUCAAAGCAGAAUAAUAUGAGAUUAUGCAGAAAUAUGACAGUUCAUCAUCUAAACAUACUCAAGUUCAUCAUCAUCAUUUAAACAUAGUCAAGUUCAUCAUCUAAAGAUCAUCACCGGCGAAAGUUCAUGAACAUAAAAGUAGUGCAAGACAUGGAACAUCAUAAAAGUAGGAACAUGAAAGGUAUGGCACGACGGCCACAUGCACGGAAUCAUGAUCGACAUCAAGCAAGAGCACCUCCGCCAAAACCACCACCGCCAAGACCACCUCCGCCAAAACCGCCACCGCCAAAACCGCCACCGCGACCACCAUCACUCUGGAAGAUCGGAGUGACUGGGGUCGACGGAGCAGGAGUGGAGCCACCGGUCCCCUACAUGUUUGAGAGAAGAUUCUAACGGUAAAUAUGAUAUGAUAGUGUUGAAUGAAUGAGAACUAGUUUGUCAGUAGUUAGGCAAAUGUACUAACCGGACUAUCACUGCCUAGUGCCACCCAUUCAUCGAACGUGGGCACGUGUGGGGGUUCUCCCGCAGGUGGUUAUGGGGGUCCCAUUUGUGGUGGAUCCGUGUGGUUACUCCAAGACGCCAACAUAGCCUGGAUGUUAGUUAAACAAGAAAACUAGAAGGUCAGAAGGAAUGAAAGUGCAAAAAUUUAGCAUGGUUUUAAGAGGGCAAAACUAACCGCCAUCAUCUGACGGUUGUAAUCAUUGUUUUCCUUCACUCGUUGCAAGUACUCUCGCACCUCGAGAUUCCUAUGCUCGACAAAGGCCUUAUAUGCCUACAUAAUUUAGGUUGUUUCUAAGUGAGCAGUGCUGAAAAUAAACAAAGAAUGCUAGAGAGAAAAAGAUAAAGGGGAAGUACUUACAUCAUGCUGGCGGGCUAAGGGAGUCUGUGAACGCCCCGUACUCUCUAACUGGCUCGGGUUGGUAGCCCGAAGCUGUGUGUACGAGAUCAAAGGAGUGAUCAAGCCAUCGAAACACGGAUACCGGCCAUGUGACUUCCCCUGGAUGGCCACCACCGCCGUGUCGUCGAUCUGAGACUGGGCGACCUCAGGAACAGGAACAUCCGGAUGCAACUUCUGAUAGUGCUGAGUGUAAGACUCCAGGUGCUCCUCGGUCUUGCCGUAGUACUGGCUCUCGCCCACCUUGGGAUCACUCCGCUCGCGGGCCAGCUUCCACGACUCAAUGUCUGAGAGCGGCCUCUUCAACUUGUCCUCCUGCAACCUCAAACAGAAGUUACCCAUACAUAAGAACAUGACGGUAAAGAAGAACAAAAAUGCAUCAUGCAUAUAGAUAUACCUUCAUGGCCUUGAAGCCCCAGUGGUUCCUAUUUCCUUGGCCGUGUGUCCCGUCUUUUCCAUGGUUAGCCCGGGCCUUGAUGCUCUUGGCAGCAAACUCUGCAUCGUCGCCGAGCCACCUAUCCACCAAACUCGCCCAUCCGUCAUGCCUUCCAUAGCACCAACGAGGAACAACCUAUGCAAAUUUUGGAAGCAUGACAUGUGAACACGAAACAUAUAGUUGACUGCUUGAAACAAUGAAAAGUUAGUAAUAGUUACCAUCAUGAACUGCUCCCUGUUCAAGGUAAGCCGUUGUUUCUGCGCUUGAGUUUUGGUCAUCUUUUGGUGCAGGUAGGAGUGGUAGUACUGCGAGACGGCAACCUAGCGCACCUCAUACUGCAACUGACGAGCUUUCUUCUUCGAAGCCGCAAGCAAGACCACGUCGGCUCUGGCCUUGUGCUCGUCAAGAACUCUAUAGAGUUGCUGCAAUCAUGCAUAAACCAGAAGCAAACAAGGCAUGAGUUGAGUGAUUCAAUGAUAAACUAUGAACAAAACUGAAGACAAGUGAUUCAGAAGAGAACUUACCCAAAAUUUGGUGAUCGCGGCCUUAGCGGUUGUCCCGUACUCCGCGUUGCUGCAAGCCUCGUAGUGGGCCCAGCUCGUGGCCAAAACCCGCAGCUGCGGGUCCCUGUCUGGCCGCGGGCAGAAUAGGCCAGGCCAAAACUCCUUCAACAGGACAGUGAUAAGGCCGUUCGGUUUACGGCCCUUUCCACGAAGGAUCCAGUUACUACAAAAGAAUCAAAGGAUUACCAUGUGUACAAUAAGAAAAUGUUGUCUUGUGUUGAAAAUAUGAUUGAGAGGCACUUACUCUGUCCCCGCGGGUUCAAUGAGCCACUUGUGCGCCUCGAUAGAAGGUGGUGUAGGUAGUCCGGCAUUACUACGCAGCCACCCCUGCGGAGCACCCGGUGGCAAGUCACCCCACAACUCGGGAUCAACCUCCCCUCCACCACCCUCCUCGGCCUCCUCCUCACCCUCCUCCUCGCCAUCAGCAACAUACUCCUCCUCCUCAGACUCAGAAGGUGCCUCUGUAUAGGAGGGCAUCGAAGAAGACCCUCCUAUUUCGGACACGGCCCGGAGUUUUUUGCCCCGGCUGCCUCUCCCCCCACCUCCUCCUCCUCUAGGGGCUCUCCCCCCACCGCCUCCUCCUCUAGGGUCUCCUCCCCCGACCCCUCCACCUCCCUGUGAGGUGUCAUCCUCGCGUAGUCGGGAGGGAACCUUGUGGGCUCGUCCACUCCGAGUAAGUCCUUUGAAUUUACUGAGGAAACUGGCGCCGCUGGACUUGCCCAUGAUUAGCAAACCUGCAUUGAGAAGAGAAUAAACAAUUAGUAAGGAUAUCAAAUAAACAAGCAUACAGGAAAAACAUUAAUAGCAGAAGAGCACAUUAAGCAUACUAUUGUAAUGAUCAUUAAAAGAACUUACAUUUUCUAGAACCCAUAUGAACCCAUAUGAAUUUACUGAGGAACCAGGCUAAGCCGAUGGCCAGGACUGGGCUGUCGGCAUAGCUCCAACUAGGCCGACGGCAGCCGUAGGCAUAGGUUUGGCCCUCGGGGUAGGCCCGUUUUCCGGUAGUGGUCCAUAGAUGAAAUACCGGAACCAGCGACCCAACAAGUGUAAUUGAACUAGGAGGCGGUGCAGUAGGACCAGGUGCCACAGUUGGUGUGGAGUGCGGAUGGAACGGAGACCAAGCCGGCCUAGACCUGGUCACCUAGUCCAACACCCGAGAACUAGCGACUUGGCUGGCCCAAACUUAGUAACGUCCGAAGGAACCUUGAGCUCACCCACUUGCAACACCCAAUGUCCCAAUUAGACGACGUCCUGCACUUCAGAUAGACACACAGAUGCGGUGCGGGAUCCAUUCGGAAACCCCAGGGGACACGUGUCUCCCACCUAGUGCAGGGCACUCCGAGCCCGCCACAGCCAUGAACGGCCCUCCCCAGCCCAUCUAGGACACCAUCUCCCACCACGGAUCACGCAUCGACGCCGGCGACGCGGGGAGGGGUGAUAUCAGACAUCACUGGCCUCCACUGUCGUUGGCAACGAAGCCCAACUAGGAGAGGGUGCCACAACAGCCGACGGGCGAGACGAGCGCGGCGGGGCAGAGCCAGAGAGCGGCACGUGGGGAGGAGGAAGCCGCACACCCGCGACUGCCCGGGAACCACGUCGAGCCAACCUUUCUUGGAACGAACUGGCAGCCAACCUCCAUGGAGGAAAUCACAAAGCAGUCUCCCCAGUGCCGGACACGCGAGCUCUACUCUUCCGCUUCGCACUCCAGAUUUUAUUCGUUUNNNNNNNNNNNNNNNNNNNNNNNNNNNNNNNNNNNNNNNNNNNNNNNNNNNNNNNNNNNNNNNNNNNNNNNNNNNNNNNNNNNNNNNNNNNNNNNNNNNNNNNNNNNNNNNNNNNNNNNNNNNNNNNNNNNNNNNNNNNNNNNNNNNNNNNNNNNNNNNNNNNNNNNNNNNNNNNNNNNNNNNNNNNNNNNNNNNNNNNNNNNNNNNNNNNNNNNNNNNNNNNNNNNNNNNNNNNNNNNNNNNNNNNNNNNNNNNNNNNNNNNNNNNNNNNNNNNNNNNNNNNNNNNNNNNNNNNNNNNNNNNNNNNNNNNNNNNNNNNNNNNNNNNNNNNNNNNNNNNNNNNNNNNNNNNNNNNNNNNNNNNNNNNNNNNNNNNNNNNNNNNNNGCUUAGAGGGCCCAGAAGCAACCAUGCGGAUCACCUGGUGGAGGUCUGGCGAACGGCACGUGUCGCCCUGGACGUACGUAAGUCAACACGGAUGCGAGAGUGAGAGACGGCAUGGACCCCUUCAUCCUCCACUAGCUAUUUCCCCGUGAGAAAAAAAGAAAAGAAAGAAAAAUAAUGUAGCAAGUCAUGACACAUGUUCUGGGUAUGAGUGUUCUCGAAAAGGGGCCAUAUCGAUGAGUUGUUAUAUUGUCUUUUUCUUGACAUUGUUGGUUUUGAGGUUGCUUACAGCAUACACCAUGUGGUAGUUGUUAUAUUGUCUUUAUUCCUGCCUAGCUCCCAUUUGGUAUGUGUGCAUAUAAAUAGUUUCCAUCUCCGGUAGUUUACAGGUAUAAACUAGUCGGAAUAGCUUCCUUCCAUUGUGGUUUAUUAUGUGACCAUCUACCCAGAGGCAGACUAUUUUUUUACAUAUUAGGUCAUUCACAAGAAGCGAGUUAGCCACCCUGGAUACAAAGUCAAGACAAUUUUCCUAAUUUGACGCUGUUAAAGUCGCACACCAUCACGAAUAUGUUAGAUUUGGGAGGCAUUAGAAACGGACCAAAAUGUAGUGAGCUGAAAUCCAGUACAGCUUCCCUUCCACUCAGCAGUCCAUUGGCGGUUUCUAUGGGCAAACUCCGCCAGAGUCCCAAUGCAGUCACCAUGGUUGUUCUUGGUUUGCUCAGACCACCUGCUCCACUAAGAAUCGAACCCAUGUCCUAAGGAACAGCCGAAGGCAAAGUAUUGUACCACUAACCCGCUUGCCUGUACGCUAAUGGAUCUUGAACCAACCCUCUAAAGUUCUUUCCUUCUAUCAAUGCAAUGAUACGCUGCUUAACGUAUUCGCAAAAAUCAUUAGUAAAAAAAAAAAAA
rnacentral:lncRNA from 1 species